rnacentral:lncRNA from 1 species
CCAAAGGAAUAUCUAUCUACCCAUCUGUCCUGCCACAAAACAGAUCAUUCUCAACAGCAGUGGAAAUAGAAUCAGCUCCAUUGCCUGGGAAUCAUUCUUGUCAGGAGUGCUUUCGUUCUAACCUAGGUAAAGGAUCCAAACAAGCAGACUACACACAGAAAGAUGACUUCAUUUCUUCACCGAGUGUUUCGUGAGUGUCUGCUGCAUGCUGGACACUAGCAAAGGCAGAAGGAAUUCAACCACAACUGAAAUGAACACCGGGUAUCCAAGGGCAGGAGGAAAAUGCUGGAGAAAGGACCUCAAGUCAAGUGAUGGAUGGCUUCAAGGAAGGCACAACAGAGAGCUGUUGGGGUCCAGGAGAAGAAAUACAAGAUGAAUAAUGAAAUCUACUUGGUUUCAAUGAG